UCCAGCAGGAUGCAGCCAGCCCAAGGAGGUGCCCAAUGCCCACAUCCAGGGCUCCACACAACCAGCCUGGACCCCCCCCAUGCUCCAAUGCAUCCGAGACCCAAGUUUUCCACCCCAAAACCCCACCCAGGAGCACCCGGAGACACCAAGUGCUGAGACGACCCAAAAAGACUCUUCUAACAGCUCUUCUAAACAAGACCUCUCUGAGAAAAGAGUGAAACCCUGAGAAGAAUGAGAACACACAC